CGGAAGAUCAGGUGGGGUCGUGGCCGAUCCGGUGUGGUUGACUUCAUGUUGCCAGAGGGUGGUAGUUGAGAAAAGUUACCAUAUUUGCAACUUCCGCUGUGGUGCCGGCAGUGAGAGGGUUGCACCUAUUGGCAAUGGCCUUCGGCUUUGAAAUGGUGAAACGAAAUCUCCUUAUCCUGGCUACUGUUACAUCAUAUGUAAUAGUGACAAGUAACGCGCAGGACCGUACUUGCCCAGAGCCUUCCAACCUUGACGCAUCGAAUGUAGCUUACAAUUCCAUCACGUUCCGUUGGGAUGUCACAAAAUACAUAUCAAGCCCUGUACACUGCACAUGCAUGUCAUUGGGAAACUAUGGUGAGGCAUGUUCGGCCAGCAACACGCCGAAAGUCUGCACUACUGGAGUGGCCGGCUACACCAGGGCACAAACGAGCCUCAACGUUUACACCAACUACACGCUGUGCGUGCAGACGCAGUGCUCCGCAGCGAACUUCUCCACUGCCAUAUGCAGGACCUUCAGGACGUCGCCUACAGCGCCCGGUCAGCCAUACCAGAUCUUCGCUACCAAGCACAGCCCUUCUUCCCUCGACAUCAGUUGGCGCUUCCCAACGGCACUGAACGGGCCGCUGGACGGUUACCGUAUCCGUUGGUGUCAGACAUCCAGUUGUGUGCCAAGUCAGGAGAUACUUCGUGGGAACGAAUUGCGUAAUUUUCGAGUCACAGGGCUGCAACCGUACCGCCAAUACAAUAUCUACGUGUCCGGCUUCAAUGUGGAUCCCUACAGCGGGCAGACCCUCUACGGAGCCGAGGCAUCACUCAGCGAGUAUACCCUUCCUACAUACCCCUCCGAGCCGUCGCUCUCCUUCACAAAAGUGUCGACGUCGCAAGUGAACGUCGUUGUGGGUGUGCCCAAAUACACGAACGGCCCCAUCAACGGAUACGUGCUGACGUGGUGCCCCAAACUCCGCUGCUACGGUGACUACGUGAGCACGCGUGAGGUGCUGCAGCCCAACGCGGGCACGCAGUCGAUUACCGGACUGCAGCCGUGGACAGAGUACGAAUUCACCGUGAGCGCCUUCAACAUUGUCCCCACUGACAGCGAGCGAGCGUACAGCGAAGAAGUGAAGGGGACUGUCGUGCCCAUGCCCUUCUCUCCCGGUGGUCCACUGAACUUCAAAGCUACUCCCUUGAGUUCAUCUUCAAUGAGGCUGACAUGGGACCUGCCACCACGUUAUGACGUCACUCCUUCGCACUUCCGCCUAUUCUGGUGCACCGGAGGAGACAAGAACUGCUUCAACGCGGACGUCGGCAAUGUGCGGGAGGCGGUAAUCUCACCACUGGCUCCGUACACAGAGUACCGCUUUAUGAUCAAAGCCCUCGCGCAGUUUUCCUCACCCUGGCUAAACAGCGCUAUAUCAAGCACCAGCGUGAGGACAUGGCCUAGUGAUCCCAGCAGACCAAUGGAACUCAAAGUGGUACGAACAAAGGCGACGGCGGUAGACGUCUCUUGGAAGGCGCCGCUUGAUCCUGCUGGUCCUUUGGCCGGAUAUCGCGUGCGCAUAUGUCCUGAGCUUGGAACAUGCCCCGCUAUCGGACUCAUCAGCCGUCACAAGACACUUAACAAGAACACGCAGAACCACUCAUUCUACGGCCUGGAAGCGUACGCGAAAUACCAAGUGCAAGUCAGCGCCUUCAACAACCUUCCGGACGAAAAGACUGCUGAGGGGGACGUGGCUGCCAUUGCUGUGUCUACGACACCAAGUGAGCCAAGCGAGCCAACAAGCCUGGUCGUCAAAACAAUCGGCAGCACAGUUCUUUUGGUAACAUGGCAGCCUCCAAGCCAUAAGAACGGGCCAGUAAAGGGCUACAACGUCAGCUGGUGGAAGAGUGGUGGCGCUUCAACACACGAUGUGGAGGACCUGUCCACUGGCGACAGUGCCUUUGUCGCUGGCGAAGCAACGUCUCUGAGGAUAUCGAACCUUCUCCCAUACACCACCUAUGCUGUUCGAGUUGCGAGAGUGAACAGUAGAUGGCAACACGACGUUGGAAGGAGCUGCGGCGCACGCCGAAGGUAUCACCGAUCCGGAACCAUGUCCGCCACCCACUAACGUCACAGUCGUAGCUGUGAAGAUUAAUGCCACAACGUCCAAGCUUACCUGUAGCUGGUCUCCUCCGAACGCCACCGUGAAUCCACCCGUGGAAGGUUAUCAGCUUCAUGUGUGCAGCGUGCAGAAUGCAUCUACCUGCUGGGACGCCAACACGACUGCGGAGCAGCUGUCGUACGUGAUAGAAGCGGUGCAAAACUUCGAGGACUACAUUGUCGCUGUGAACGCUUACGUCUUGAACCAUGGUCGUGUGGUUGUGGGAGAAUCUGCCACCACUAGAGUGAGCACGGCUGCACCGGAGAUACCUAUUGUCACAAACAUCAACGCAACAGCAGUCAAUUCCACAUCCAUAUAUGUCGAGUGGAAACCUGUGGACUCAGUCAAUGAACUCGUAAUAACGUACAACGCCACUCUCUUAAGUGUAAACGGUGCAGAAGUGCGUCAGGUGUUUGUUAGCGAUCCAAGGGCGCUGUUCGCAGAGCUUCAAGCGUGGACAAGCUAUAGUGUUCAGGUCUCUGCGUGCGUGACGCGAGGAUCAAAGCGCCAGUGUGGAACCGCCAGGGCUGCUGACAUUCGGACGUCGCCGACAGAAUCGAGCAAGCCAACAAGUGUCCGCACUAGUACCAACAGCACUGCCAUACACGUAACAUGGGAAGAACCUUUGCACCCCAAUGGACCGCUGUUGGGGUACAACGUUACGUGGUGGUUAAACAACGCUUCAUUGAACGACAGUGACGACUCAGCAGAAACACAUAAGAAAUCCAUCUUUCUGGAAGGUGCGGUUUUCUCGCACAUUAUCAGUGAGUUGCAGUCGGCGGCCACCUAUGUAAUCGAAGUUCGUCGAGUUAACAGAGAGAACUCCACUCUCUUGCAAGGUGCUGCAGCCCGGAUUGAAGCUUCAACCGCUCCGGACUCAUAUGCUCAACCAGAAGAUGCCAACUUUACUAUACGCAAAAUAAACUCAUCACAUUUUGCCAUUAACGUAACGUGGCACCCGCCAUACACAUCGGCAAAAGACGCUGAACUGGAAAGGUAUGAAGUCUUCGUUCAACGCAUUGAAGAAGGCAAGCCUUCAGUUGUCUUCACAGUCAACCGGGUCGCCACCGAGUAUCUCUUCGAGGUCAGCAAUAUGAACCCGUUUGUUGAGUACGUCGUUCAGAUUAGAGCGUACGCGAGGUUUGGAAGCACCGUAGUUAAAGGUGAAGCUGCGGAAGUGCGCAUCAGUGUUGACGCAAGAUUUCUUCUUGUCGUUUCUGACGUCGAAGUGAACAGUUCGGCCGAUGGUGUUGCAGUUGUGAGCUGGAAGUCGAGCUUGGCAGUCGAUGCCGCAGCCAGCAACGCAACGUACGAGGUUAAGUUGAUUUCGACUGAAACCGGAGAGGAAAUGGAAGGCACCGUCGUGAGUUCACUUCAAGCAACUUUCACGGGCCUGAAGGUGCGCACGAACUACACAGCGCGGGUGAAGGCGUGUGACGUCAGGGGUCACGUGCGCAAGUGCGGCGACGUGAGCGAGGCGAGGUUCCAGACACCGAAGGAAGAUGCCACGCCACGUCCAACUGACUUCAGUGUCGUCGCUGUAACUCUACCGCUCUGAAGGUGACAUGGCAGAUGCCAGUGCUUUCGCACGAAGUGGACCUCACUGAAUACCGCAUUUUAUGGUGGCCUUCCAUUGCAAACGAUACAUCGGCGUCCGCGGAGGAUGGGCACACUAGGAAUUCAUUUUGCAGGCUUGAACGAAACUACAUUUAUCAUCAGCGGCCUCGAAGCCUACAAGAGCUACGACGUCAAAAUUGUCAUUUUUUACGUAGAAGACGGCGUGAGCAAAAACGUAUCUGUCAUUUCCAAGAGUAAGACAGCGCCACAACCGUUUGCGCCACCUGUCAGAGUGACCUUCGAUAUUUCCGGUGGCCUUGACAACUUGACACGCGUAAACAUCGCCUGGGAACCGCCUACCAACCUUACAGGACCGGUAAUAGAAGGUUACUAUGUCGAUGUGUGUCCCAUUGUAACAUCCGGCAAGUCACCGCAAGGUAUUGUUUGCAAGAGGCACAACACGACAUCCACAACUUUUGUCGUGGUGCUUGAAGGCUUGAACAAGUUUGAAGCGUACACAGUGUUCGUAAGUGCCUACACCGUGCACCAAGGUGUUGUGAUCAUCGGAAACCCAAAAGAAACAUUCGUCACCACAGAUCCCACGCCAUUAUUAAAGGUAGAAAACAUCAAAUUGGAAGUGGUCGGUAACGAUAAUUUGCGGAUAUCGUGGACGGGAGUUGACCUAUCCGCUUCAAGGUGGAGCGCUGUUUACACAGUCAAGGCUAUUCUGAAAAGCACAGGUGAGGAAGUUUUUAAAAAGGAAGUCACCACCACCGAAGUGAUUUUCCAUGAAGUCAAGGAAGAGGAGUAUACAAUACACGUUGAGGCAUGCAUUGUAAGAGGUGGCGUAAAGCACUGCGGGAGACCGAAUGCAGCUAGCGUCCAGCCUUCGGCCUUUGCACAGGAUAAACAGCUAGUGAAGAUUGAGACGGUCAACAGUUCGGCCGUUGCAAUAAUUCUGAAUCAACAAGCGCAAAUGGAACCUUCUCUGGGCGGAAUUAGGGUUUCCUGGUCAGCGCCCAAGCGCUUUCCAAAUGACACACUGCCUGGAAAAAGAAGCACAGUCUUUCUACCCAUUAACACAACCAGCUUCGUCAUCACUAAUCUAGAGUCUUUCGAGGCUUACAACAUCGAGGUUGCAAAAGUCUUCAUCGAUGGAAGCUCACAGUGGGAAACAGUUGUCGCUAGGAGCGAAGCCGUCACUGACCCCAAGCCACUGCCAAAGCCGACAAGCGUCGCCUACCAGUCGAGCUCCUCUGGCAGCAUGUCAUCACUGGUAGUCAACUGGAACGCACCGAACAUCUCUUCUGGCCCUUCAAUUGAAGGAUACAUCGUGUCAAUAUGUCCUCGUGAAGAAACUCUGAAAAGAACAGGCGGCUGCCGAACGUUCAAUAUAUCUAAGUCGUCCCUCCGGAUUGAGGCCUCGGGGCUCAGAAGCUUCAGCGAGUAUGUGGUCGAGAUAACGGCGUAUGUGACCAACAACGGCCGAGUGGUCAAAGGAGAGGUAGUGACGAUUGUUGCUGAGACAAGUCCGCCACCGAUACCAGUCAUUGAAAACCCAAAUUUGUCAAAAGCAUUCGAAGGGACAUCCGUCAACAUAUCCUGGACAAGCCCUCAGGCACUUGCAGGUUAUGAUGUGGUUUACGAAGUUGUGCUGACGGAAGAAACUUCUGGUAUUAUUCUCUUCAAAAGCGAACUGAACAGUUCAAAAACGACAUUCGAAAAGCUUGAGGCUUCUACAGAGUACACUGUAUCCAUAACCACAUGCAUCGUGAGUGGGACUCGAAGGAAGUGUGGAAACUCCAGUAGCACUUUAUUCAAGACAUCUUCGAAAGGUGAGUUCCAAUAACCAAUUCACCUGCACGUCAAAGCCAUCAACAGCUCUGCUCUCGUCAUCACAUGGCCCUUGCCGUUGACAAACGCAACCCCAUUCGAGAGCUACCUGCUUACUUGGUGGAAGGAGGAGGAAACAUCUCCAGAAGAAUCGUCAGUCCAUAAUGAGUCCUUGCCGGCCAAUUCGACGAGAUUUGUCAUUCAUAAUUUAGAACCUAACAGUACUUACCACGUAAACGUCUCCAGAAUCUACGAAGAAAAUGAGAUGGACAGGACAGACUCUGAGCAGGUAUCAGCGAGCACGCAACCGAACCCUUACCUGAAACCGCAAGGUUUACACGCCGAGUACAAAAUAAACUCUUCUGAGGUGACUGUCACGUGGGACGCCUUUCCAGUGCGCCUUGAAGACUCGCCAGUGCGGCGAUAUGCUGUGAAACUGUGCGUCGUAAUUGGCAACGACACAAACGAAGAGUUUCAGAACUGCGAACGUAAAGAAAUAUCCGCAGGCGUAGAGAAAGCAGUCUUCACCGGAUUAAGUGGCCUCACUGACUAUCAUGUUGAAGUAAGAGCUAUAGUGAGCCGAAGCGACAACGGGACUGACGAAGGAGAAGCAGCUUCUGAACGGUUCGACACUCCAGCGCCCCCUGUGCCUGAGCUGCGGCACACGCUCCGCGCUGACCUCAACGCUACCCGCGUGACUCUCUAUUGGCGUGAACCGGUGGGAUUUGACGACUAUAAAAUUUUCUACUACGUCAGUAUCUUCAGCGUUUCAUCGAAGCCCGAGAUGGAAAGGACUACUAACCUGACGGAGCUGACAUUCGACGGACUGGAGCCGAACACGAACUAUUCUGCGGACGUUGCUACGUGCCUCGUCAGAAGAGAGCGGUGGCACUGUGCAGGCAACACCACUAUCGAGUUCAAGACUCUCCCAAUUGGAUUUCAGGGAGACGUCACCAACCUUACUUCUGAGGCCGUCAGCGGUACAUCGCUUCGAAUUUCUUGGGUCGCUCCAGUCGCGCAACAAUCUCUGAAAGGUUAUCGAGUAUCCUGGUGGCUACACCGCGAAGACCAGACUCACAGGGUACCCAACAACACAUCCACAGUGCCCCUCUAUAGCACGAGCACACUUAUUGACGGUCUGCAGCCCUACACAACCUACGUGGUUGAAAUUAUUGCAGAUUACGAAGUGAGCAACGUAAUGUGGCACGGCAAGCCACUACUACAGUCAGCGACAACCAAACCCGAUGGGCUCCCAGCUAUUGCUAAUAUCAACAUUGCAACGACGAACAGGACCUUCUCGUCAUCCGACGUAGUCAUCUCCUGGACUACCACUAACACACUGAAUUCGUCCGCUGAGGUGAGGUACCUCGUCGUUCUUUGCAUAGAGUCAAACGCAGGAGCCGAAAACUGCCUCGUCAAAUCGGUAAACGCUCCAUCAUCAAAGGUAACGUUCGCGGGAGUUAAAAAUUUCGCCACCCUUGUAGCCAAAGUCCAGCCUACUCGUCAAGACAGAAAACAACCUGUUUGAAGGAGAACUAGUCAAGACCAGCGGCGUAAGCUGGACACCAGAGAUUUCGGACUUGAGCGACCUGACCGUUACGGAUAUAACCGAAAACUCCGCGCUUGUCUCGUGGUCUAAAGUGCAAGAUCUUGAUGAAAUAGGUGGGGCGUACUACAGGGUGGUUCUGAGCGUUGAGCCCUCACUAAACGUUGUACGAAACACCACACUUUCACGCACUGACUGGUACACAGCUAUGAAUGGCAGCGUUAGCCGGCCGGAACAAGUUAUUGUGCGGAACGUGACGACAGCUGACACGGAGAUAGAGUUGGAUAAUCUGAAAGCGUGGAGGAACUAUACUGUCACCGUGACUCCAACGGUCGUCGGCGAAGGGCAGGUCUUCGUGGGAGAAGGGCAGAGCAAGGACUUCGAAACUCUCAUCGGUGUGCCCGAAAAGCCGAGGAAUGUGACCGUGGAGGAAAAGGACGGAGGACACACACUCAGAUGGCUUCCUCCGGACGCGUGGAACGGACCGCCCGGCGGAUACGAAGUGAGCUUCACCUGCGUGAACGGUGAAGUCAAGGGAAAUAGCACCAGCGUUACUCUCGAGGCUGACAGGACGGCGCUUCUCAUCCCAACGCUGAGCCCAGGCGUGCCCUGCACCGUCAGCAUCAACGCGUACAACCUGUACGAGGGCGAAUCACUGGACGGAGCUAGAGUCAGGGUCCGCUUUACACCUCUUGCCAAAAAGGAAUAUGCCGGGUUCGAUCAUCCAACGAUCAAUUGAUUGAGGCUCUCUUUUUAUACGAUGGAUGUUUAGUCGCGCUACUGUGUUUGUCACGUGGGACAAAAUGCCAACACCACUGCUGGAGAAAGAUACAGUGAGUCAGCUCUGAACAGAAUUGUGUACAAUUCUAUGAAACAACGCUGAAACGUCAUGGAAGGCUUUGAUCAUCGAAAAAAUUAGGCAUUACAUUUCUGAGUGUGCAGUAUAUUGCUUUACAUGGAAACAACAUUAACACCCGUUGCAGUACAUGUCAUCUCCUCGCUGGUUUUUUGUACCCCUUGUUUCUUUUUAUGUUCUUUUCUGGAGAGCAGUAAACAUAUGUAUAACGUCGUUUCAGGCGUACAGUGAACUGUAUACGGGAGUGGUGUGUGUCACCUAUUUUUUCCUGCCGUCCACCUAAUAAGUGUUUUGAAUACCUUUAAACAUGUCACUUAUGGUACAAGUGUUCUCACGUGUGUGUAAGAUGUUGCCGUGCAGUUUACUUUGCGUAGACUGACAACUGACAACAUUGGUCAUGUAGCCUCCUCGCAUGUGUCUUCGUCUUCCUUACGCUAGUGUUUCAUGUUAAAUAGCGUGGCAUACUAUCAGUCGCUGCCACGCACUCUACUAAAGUGUAUUUCCGUGCCGCUUCUGUGUUUUUCUCCCUGAGGAUGCGCUGUUGAUGGAGGCCUUCAAGAUCUUCGUUGUGCGGAGUUUAUAUCAUGCUUCUCAAGUCCUUUCUAGUCAUAUUGUGAUCUUAAUGUUCUAGGCAAGGGAUGAUCUUUGCGUGAAUUCUGUUGGGCUACCUUCCCCCCACCGAGUGAAAUGUAAUGCACUAAUGCUUCCUACACAAAGGCAUGUUACUUUUUAACGUUUUUUUUGGUGAUCGGCAGACCAUACCACGAAUUGCUGCUCAGUUUUUCGUAUCGGUUCUCAUCUCGAAAGGGGGCCCUACAAAUGUUUUCGAGUGUCUCUGGGCGCGCCUUGGCUCCACCACAGCUUUGGUGAAGUAUUACGGCUUCCGCCACUGCUAUGGAAGGCAGACUAGUGCUGCCGGCGAAUACCUAGCCACAAAAUAGGUACAAGCGCGCACCCGUCCUGGUGCACGGCCACUACGGCAGUUACGACUCUCACAUGGACGCGCACCUAUUGGGAAGUUGGAGGCAUAUGACCGCCAGACAUAUUUUCCGGCGGGGUCUGGCAGUCCUGGCAGGAGGCCGGGAGCGCGCUGGUAACAAUUUUGUGGGCAGGUACCCUGCGCCAGCACUCGUCCGCCUCCUACAGCAGCUGAUGCUAGACUAUUUCCACAAAGAUGUGGCGUGGUCAAAGGGUUAAAGGUGUGGCGGUCAAGGGGCCUCGUGAGACCCCAGUAAAUCUCUACAUGCCCCCUUGUGAGAUGAGAACCCGUAUACGCAACUGAGUACCAAGUCGUGGCACAUAUCUACUCACUAGAACCGGUGCGUUUCCGGCGACACUGCGGGCUUGAAACCCAGUAGCUCUCGCAUACGAAGCGGACGCUCUACCAUUUCACCAGAGCUGUGGCUGUGGCACACUACCUUCUGUUAAUGAAGUGUUACUGUCUUAGAUAAUACGUAGGUUAACAAUAUGUCCCGUGGUCAUACACUCCAAUUGGAUGCGUCUAUCGGGAUGUGGCUGGAAUACAGUACUGUACCUAGGUUUACAUCUCAAUGGCCUUGUAUACCAACCAGGGGAUGAGGGAAAAUAUUGUACAAAUUUUGGUACGCCUUAAAUGGCUGGUCUACUCAGGUUGCUUAUUUGCUCUUAGCGAUAGAUGUUGAAAGAGUGAUUUGAUGGGCUUGUUUAUACGGCAAACUGCUCGUGGGACUGUGGAAUAUUUAAAUAAAUGUUAGC